CCUCCUUUUAUAGGUUUCUUUUUGUCUGCUAGUGACGUGCCAAAAGAACGAGUACCAGUAGACCAUCUGUCCCUGCCACGCUGAUACAGACGUACGUGGGAAUCAAAUCUCUGCCCCAUGCGUAACGACCUCUGAUUCUCCCUGGGCACGGAUGGGCGGGUCUGCAAGAUGAACGGAUGGGUCUUACUCUGGUUCCUGGUUGGGCCGGCCAGGCUGGGCCGGGUGAAGGGAACAAGAUUGGGCUGAAGAGGGGCUCCCCUACGGAACUGGAGAAUGGGCCAUCCCGGUUGAGGCGCGUCAGGAGGGAGCCCGUCCUUACCAUUUGAAUAAACCAGACCUUAUCCAUACUAAGGGCUCUAAGAUGUCCGAG
rnacentral:lncRNA from 1 species